rnacentral:misc_RNA from 1 species
GUGCUUUCUCAUAAUUAAAAUAAUUACCUCGCCUUCAUUAGAUCUGGUUGUUGGUUGAGCCGCCUUUGCUUGUGUGCAUCUCGAUUAAUUUAUGGGGUAGCUUAUCGUCUAGCUCACAGGGAAAUGUCAUUCUUAAAGGAUAGUUUCAUUGAUUCUGAAGCCCAUUUUGUGGUGCUAAUUGUACAGAGCUCAUCAACGUUUUCAGGUUUGGAGUUGAAAUUUGAAACAUAGCGUAUCAUAUUUUCAAGCCUUUGAUGACUCAGACUGAGACCUCAUUUUAGUAACUUUAACGAGAGGUUUUGUUUGACUUAUUCGCGUGAAAUGGCAGAGCUUUUUGGAUAUACAGCAUGCAGACAAUUAUUGCAAAUGUUCAUUUCAAUUAUAUUCUUCCAUGUUUCCGAGUACAUUCUGGCACUUGUCUUUCAUGGGAAGUCGAAUGUAUCUUUUAAGUCGCUUUUGAUAAGCAAACAUUAUGUACUAGCAAUGUUUUGCUCCUUGAUAGAAUACCUUAUUGAAAUCUAUUUCUUUCCCGGCUUAAAGGAAUAUUGGUGGAUAAGUAAUUUUGGCCUCGCAAUGGUUGUCCUCGGAGAAAUCAUAAGGAAGUUGGCAAUUGUGACAGCAGGCCAAGCCUUCACUCAUCUAAUAAAGGUUUAUCAUGAGGAAAAUCAUCAGUUGGUUACGAAUGGGAUCUAUAGAUUUGUCCGGCAUCCCGGUUACUGUGGUUUCUUCAUCUGGUCUGUUGGUACACAAAUAAUGCUAUGUAAUCCAAUAUCAACCAUUGCAUUCACAGUUGUUGUGUGGAAAUUCUUCUCGGGAAGGAUACCUUACGAGGAGUUUUUCCUCAAGCAGUUCUUUGGUUCUGACUACGAAGAUUAUAUGAGAAAAGUUCCUUCUGGUAUUCCACUUGUGAGGUGAUUAUAUCCUCUUCAGUGCUCUAUAUAUUCAUGCCUAACGUCAUCUGCUCAUCGGUGCUGAGAUAACACUGUUUAUGAAUUUUAUCUUCUUAGACACUCUUUACAGUUUUCAUAACAUGAAGUUCGCCAGAAAAAGGUUCCUCCUAGAUAUAACUUCUGAGGUGAUGCUUCUAUUAACCCUUGUAUAGCGCGUUUAUCUUAUUUGUAUCAUCAUGUUUUCGUCGUAUCAUGUCUUUGUUAAGACUUAGGUAAACUGUUCUUGUGGGGAGCUGUAAGUUAUAACUGUAUUUGUAUUUAUGGCUUGAUGGG